GAUGAACGCUGGCGGCGUGCUUAACACAUGCAAGUCGAGCGCGAAAGCGACUUCGGUCGCAAGUAGAGCGGCGCACGGGUGAGUAACACGUGGAUAACCUGCCUGAGUGUGGGGAAUAACUUGGGGAAACCUAAGCUAAUACCGCAUACGUUCACCAGACUUCGGUUCGGUGAGGAAAGACCGCCUCUUCUUGAAAGCGGUCGCACUCAGAGGGGUCCGCGGCUGAUUAGCUAGUUGGUGAGGUAAUGGCUCACCAAGGCGACGAUCAGUAGCCGGCCUGAGAGGGUGAUCGGCCACACUGGAACUGAGACACGGUCCAGACUCCUACGGGAGGCAGCAGUGGGGAAUAUUGGACAAUGGGCGAAAGCCUGAUCCAGCAACGCCGCGUGGAGGAUGAAGGCCUCGGGUUGUAAACUCCUGUCAGGUGGAACGAAAAACCUCAGCUAACAACUGAGCAUAUGACGGUACCACCAGAGGAAGCCCCGGCUAACUCUGUGCCAGCAGCCGCGGUAAUACAGAGGGGGCAAGCGUUAUUCGGAAUUAUUGGGCGUAAAGGGCGCGUAGGCGGCUAAACAAGUCAGGGGUGAAAUCCCUCGGCUCAACCGAGGAACUGCCUCUGAAACUGUUUGGCUUGAGACCGGGAGAGGGUGGUGGAAUUCCCAGUGUAGCGGUGAAAUGCGUAGAUAUUGGGAGGAACACCGGUGGCGAAGGCGGCCACCUGGACCGGUUCUGACGCUGAGGCGCGAAAAGUGUGGGGGAGCAAACAGGAUUAGAUACCCUGGUAG
rnacentral:rRNA from 1 species